ensembl:lncRNA
ACCCACUUUAGGUAAGUUUUUGGUGCCAGUGUGAGGCUGUGCUCUCGCGAUACCUGGCUCCUGGGGUUUUCCCCAAAGCAGAGCCGCCACCGUGAUGACUUGCCGGGAAGCCUUCAAGGAGUCACUACUCCCAGACAGGUGGUUUGGGACAAUGUUCCCAGCAGCUGCUGAGACCACUUUUGGGGGGAGAGUCUCCCUGUCUCUCCCCUGCGCAGCACUGGCGGCAGUGUAUGCUUCUCCUUGGUGGAAUGGAAUCAUGCCUCUGGACAAGCUGACAAGCCCCGUGACCCAGUGUUGUUACCAAGAGAAUCCCCGCAGACAACCUCCUGCUUUCAAAUCACCACCUCAGAGUCAGUCCCAGACAAUGACAUUUGAAAGGAUUAAAUAAAAAGAAGAAAAGACAGAGUGGGAUGCAGAAGUGACUCGAGGUCAGGAGCUUGUUCUCCUGUCUCCACAAUGGCUCCCUGUUGAGAAAAUACUCGGUGUCCCAGAGGCAGAGUGGAGAGAGGAACAGGUGUGCUGGCAAGGACAGAAUGCCACGCAGGAUCCAUGGGGAGACUUUCUGCAGGCCAGCUUCCAGUCUGUUCCCGGUGUCGUUCGUCUUCGAACAAGCUCACGCUCUAUUUGUGGCAGGUGGCAGAAGCACAAGAAGCCCAGCUACAGGGAAGCACGGUUAAAGCCUCUGCUCACGUCAUCUUUGCUCACAUCCUAUUGGCCAGAGCAAGUCACAUGGCCAACAUCAACUGGACCAGGAUGUAAAUUUCUCCCACGGAAGUUGAGAGAAGCCAGGACAAGGGCCAGGAAGGAAGGACUUGACCUCACAAGACCCCAGAAUGGUGGUCCAGUGUGGAGGAUGUCUGAGAUCACUGCCCACCAGCCAGCAGAGUGGAGGUGGGCAAAGAAUCCAGCUGCCAAUACAAAAGCUUCAGGAGACACACUUUCGGUCCCUGGGUCAAGAAGAUCCCCCUGGAGGAGGAAAUGGCAACCUACUCCAGUAUUCUUGUCAAGAUAAUCCCAUGGACAGAAGGUCCUGGCAGGCUACAGCUUCCACAUAACAUUGAGCAAAGUUUGAGAAAAACAGCGACAUGGCAAGAGAAAGAGCGCGAGGUUAGAGACUUUGUCUUUCCAAGGCUGAUGGUAUGAUCCUCCUGCCAUGAAGCCACCUGUUGGUGUCUCUCUGCCUAAAGACCACAGUUCCGUAAUCCACGCCUCCCUCGCAGUGCCGCACUCCAGCCCUCAGGAACUCUGAAAGGAGGCUGCCCAACUGCCACUUCCCUGUGGAGGUCUUCUCCUGCCAGAGGUCUCGCCUACAGGAUCUCUCAUCACCUUUGUGUAUCACCUGCGGAGUCUCACCGCAAUCUGUCAACCUUAUUUGCUUAAAUCCGUCCACCCCACUAGAAGAUGAGCUUCCCAAAGAGCAGGACCUCUGGUCUUUCUUCAGGGCCCUGAAGCUGGUGGAUCCCGACUGAAACUCUCGGACUGAAUGACAGCUCAGAGUCCAUCAGAUAUUGAGCAGACUCCCUUUCCCCCCAGCCCCGCCCCCAGCUUUCUUCACCGGAAAUCAUUUCAAAAUCAUUCAUUUUGGAAAUAAGGCUUCUAGGGCUUCGACCGCACCCACCCACCUACGUUCCAACGGUUAGAAC